UUUGUGCAGUCGCUGGGAAGGAAGGAGACGCCUAAACCGCGGCACUGCCCGGUUUGAGCGUAGCCAAACCUGCCCACCGGCUUUGUAGCCCCGAUUCUCUGUGUUUUGCUCCCGUCUCCGACGAGAGAGGCGGCGACGGUGGCGUCUGCGACGGGAGACAGCGCGUCGGAGCGAGAGAGCGCUGCGCCUGCCGCCGCCCCAACAGCGGAGGCGCCGCCGCCAUCGGUCGUCACCAGACCGGAGCCGCAGGCCCUCCCGAGCCCGGCCAUCCGUGCCCCGCUCCCAGAUCUCUAUCCUUUUGGGACCAUGCGCGGAGGAGGCUUUGGGGACCGGGACCGGGAUCGUGACCGUGGAGGCGUCAACUAUUCUGCCUCGCUAGAAAGUUCUUGGUAUUGUGGACCGGGCGUGGUGCCUCAGGCCUGUAAUCCCAGCGAUUUGGGA
rnacentral:lncRNA from 1 species